rnacentral:rRNA from 1 species
CCUACGGGUGGCAGCAGUGGGGAAUAUUGGGCAAUGGGCGCAAGCCUGACCCAGCAACGCCGCGUGCAGGAAGAAUGCUUUCGGGUUGUAAACUUCUUUUAAGAGGGAAGAGUAGCAGACGGUACCUCUUGUAUAAGCCACGGCUAACUACGUGCCAGCAGCCGCGGUAAUACGUAGGUGGCAAGCGUUGUCCGGAAUUACUGGGUGGAAAGGGCGUGCAGCCGGGAAGACAAGGCAGAUGUGAAAUCCCGCGGCUCAAACGCGGAACUGCAUUUGAAACUUGUUAGCGUGAGUACCGGAGAGGGAAGCGGAAUGCCAUGUGGAGGGGUGAAAUGCGUAGAUAUAAGGAAGAACACCAGAGGCGAAGGCGGAUGACUGGGUGUAAACUGACGGUGAGGGGCGAAAGCGUGGGGAGCAAACAGGAUUAGAUACCCUAGUAGUC